UUAAACUUUUAGGAUAUGAAUUGGACCUUUUGGAUAUGAAUUGAACUUUUAGUUUAUGUUUAAACUCGUAGGAUAUAAAUUGAACUUUUAGUUUUUAGGAUUUGUUCUUGUGAAUUGAACUUUUAGGAUAUGAAUUGGACCUUUUGGAUAUGAAUUGAACUUUUAGGAUAUAAAUUAAACUUUUAGUUUAUGUUUAAACUCGUAGGAUAUAAAUAGAACUUUUAAUUUUUAGGAUUUGUUCUUGUGAAUUGAACUUUUAGGAUAUGAAUUAGACCUUUUGGAUAUGAAUUGAACUUUUAGGAUAUAAAUUGAACUUUUAGUUUAUGUUUAAACUCGUAGGAUAUAAAUUGAACUUUUAGUUUUUAGGA
rnacentral:lncRNA from 1 species